ACUCCUACGGGAGGCAGCAGUGGGAAUCUUGGACAAUGGGGGCAACCCUGAUCCAGCCAUGCCGCGUGAGUGAUGAAGGCCCUAGGGUCGUAAAGCUCUUUCGCCUGUGAAGAUAAUGACUGUAGCAGGUAAAGAAACCCGCGUACUCCGUGCCAGCAGCCGCGGUAAUACGGAGGGGGUUAGCGUUGUUCGGAAUUACUGGGCGUAAAGCGCGCGUAGGCGGACUGGAAAGUUGGGG
rnacentral:rRNA from 1 species